UCUAUCUGUAAUUUGGUUUUACAACGUCUAAGUGUCAAUGAUGUCUAGAAUUGUUGUAGAUUAAUUAGUUAUUAUGGAUUCAUGGUACCAUGUAGUGGUACAUUGAUUAUCUGGCGUUGAGUAAUUAAUCGAUUUCAGGUUUUGGAUUGGAUAGGGAGCCUCUUUCGGAGUGAACCACAUCAUAAUGCAUCCUACAUAGCUGCCAUGGAUGAAUUACGGAGGUGGGGAGAGCAAGGAGGUUGCUGAUUUUUCGGGAAGCGGUGGCGAUCUGACAUGGAUUACGUGGGAUGAGAAAGAUCAAGCUCGACAAGAAGUUGUGAAUGUGAGGACAGGAGAGGAAGGUGUAGAUGACGGUGCGGGGGUGUGCUUGCUGCUGGCACCUUAUGCGGCUCCUCUACCACCUUGAGUAGAAGGAUCAUCUAUGGAUCAACUGAGGAAGCAUAAAUGAGGAGGUGGUAAGUUUCAGCCAUUUUGUAGAUUUGAUAAAGUUUUAAAAUGUUCCAAGGUGGGAUGACAAAUUUCUGAAGUGGUGGCAAUGCUGAGCAAAUGGCAAGCUGAGACUAUUGCUAGAGUUGCUGAAGUUUCAAAAGGUUGCAAGAUGAGAUGAAAAACUUCUAAAGUGAGGACAAUGCUAUAGAGUUAGGGUGAAUGAGGAGAAUAAAAAAUGAAAGGGAAGUAGGGUUAAGGAUAAAAAUGUUGUUUUCUUUUCUUGGAAGGAGAUGGUGGUAAGGAAUUAUGAGAAAAAUGUGGAGAAUAUGUAUCUUUAUCUUCAUAUGAA